AAGUAAAAGUCGUAACAAGGUUUCCGUAGGUGAACCUGCGGAAGGAUCAUUAUCGAGUUUAAACGCGCCUGAGCUGGCUUCGGCAAGUGCUCGGCGCCUCGUCCACUCAACCCCUGUGCACCUGAGAGGUGCGGCUGGGUCGAAAGACCCGCCGCCGCGCCUCGACCCUUCACAUACCCCAUACAAAGUUCAGUAGAAUGUAACGAUCGCUUCGGCGAUGAAACGAAAUAUAACUUUCAACAACGGAUCUCUUGGCUCUCGCAUCGAUGAAGAACGCAGCGAAAUGCGAUAAGUAAUGUGAAUUGCAGAAUUCAGUGAAUCAUCGAAUCUUUGAACGCACCUUGCGCUCCUUGGUAUUCCGAGGAGCAUGCCUGUUUGAGUGUCAUGAAUACCAUCACCCUCCGGUGCUUUCGAGCGCUCGGUUGGCGUGGAUUUGGGGAUCUGCUGGCCUUCGCGGGUCGGCUUCCCUUGAAUGCAUUAGCGGUCGCUUGGUUCUGACCACGGUGUGAUAACUAUUUCACCUUGGGAUGGGCCGUCAAGGCGUCGCUCACAGCCGUCUUCGGACACCUAUUGUUAAUCUGGCCUCAAAUCAGGUAGGACUACCCGCUGAACUUAAGCAUA
rnacentral:rRNA from 1 species